rnacentral:rRNA from 1 species
AUCAGUAAGCGGAGGAAAAGAAACUAACCAGGAUUCUCCUAGUAACUGCGAGUGAACGGAGAUUAGCCCAUCACCGAAGUCUAUUCACAUUUGUGGACAGGACAAUGUGGUGUUUUGGCGCGCGCCUGGGAUCGCAGACCUGUUCCAAGUCCAACUCCGAUUGCGGCAUUGGAUAGUGUCCAAAGCGGGUGAAAGACCCGUUCGAACAGGCGGUGCUCUGUGCGAUCUCUUGAUGCGUGUGCUAUCGAGUCGGAUUGCUUGAGAAUGCAGUCCAAAGUGGGUGGUAAACUCCAUCCAAGGCUAAAUACUGGCAUGAGUCCGAUAGUAGACAAGUACCGUGAGGGAAAGUUGAAAAGUACUCUGAAGAGAGAGUAAAUAGUACGUGAAACCGUUUGCAGAGAAUCGGGUGGAGUCAAGCUUCAUGCCGGGUGGAUUGUCCUUCGAUCACUAUUGUGUUUGGACGUGGGGUUUGGCAACUUGGAAAAAGUUGGGCGCACUCGCUGCGUUACAAGUCGUUCCGGGAAGCUCGAUUGUGCAUACCCCUAUCUCCAUGAUCGAAUGGUAUAUCUUCCUUCGCAUAGAUCACGGCUCAUGGCGUGUGUGCAUUGUGACUGCUUAACAGUGUCUGUGUCAGCAUUCGUUGGCUGGGCGCUGAAUGGAAGGUGGUGGCCAGGCUCUUCACGAGCCUAUGGUUAUUUAUUGUGGUCUCGACCGUUUGGCAGUCAUGACAGUGCAUCUUCGCUAUGGUUUGAAUCGUUUGCAGUGUGCAAUCCGCGUGAUUGUGCGCUUAUCAAACCGUGAUUCUGAGGUAGACGUUCCACCUGACCC